ensembl:snRNA U6 U6 spliceosomal RNA
GUGCUUGCUCUGGCAGCACAUACACUAAAAUCAGAAUGACAGAGAAGGUUACAUGGCUUCUGUGCAGGAUGGAUACACAACUUUGUGAAGCAUUCCAUAUUUUU